GACGUAGGGGGCGAGCGUUGUCCGGAAUUACUGGGCGUAAAGAGCACGUAGGCGGGUAUUUAAGUCAGGUGUGAAAGACCGCGGCCCAACUGCGGGGUUGCACUUGAAACUGAAUAUCUUGAGGGCAGGAGAGGUCAGUGGAAUUCCUGGUGUAGCGGUGAAAUGCGUAGAUAUCAGGAGGAACACCAGUGGCGAAGGCGACUGACUGGACUGACCCUGACGCUGAGGUGCGAAAGCGUGGGUAGCAAACAGG
rnacentral:rRNA from 1 species